AGUCGUCCUAAGAAAAAGAAGCCCAGAACAAAAAACACACCAGCAAGUGCUUCUUUGGAAGGCCUUGCUCAGACUGCUGGUCGAAGGCCCUCUGAGGGCAAUGAGCCAUCAACUAAAGAACUCAAAGAGCACCCAGAGGCUCCUGUUCAAAGAAGACAGAAAAAGACAAGGCUACCUCUUGGUAUGUGAAGAAACCAAGGUUAAGUUGUGAUAGCACUUGUGAUUUUGAUGACAUGAUAAAAACCUCUCUGCUUUCAUUUCUUUCCCCCUAUCCAUAUCCCACAGGUGGUUUCUUGCUUUUAUGUUUAAAAUAUUUACCACUAGAAUAACUCCAAUGGCUUAAGCCAAGAAUACUUUACAGGUCUCUUUUGAUCAUAUAUGUAUAGAUUAUGAGAGGAGGGCAACAAAUACAGGACUAAACAGAAAGUUCAGAUCUCAGUGCAUAGAAAAAUCUAGUAAAUGAUGAAAUGGACAUUUCAGAUUAGUGGGGAAAUGGUAGAUUCUGUACUAACAAUAAUAUAGUGAAACAACAGCUAACAUUUGUUUAGUCUUUCUAUGUCCCAGGCAGUUCACAAGGUAAAUAAAAUACUAUACCAUUUUUUGGCCUAUCAAAUUGGCAAUGCUUUUUUCAAAUUAUAAAAUCCAAUAUUGAUGGGAAAUGGGUGCACUCAUGCUUUGCUCAUAGGAGCAUAGAUACAGCCUGUCUGGAUUUCUGGGAAUAGUAGUAAAUUCAAUAGCUGCAGUAAUUAAAGGAUGUUA
rnacentral:lncRNA from 10 species